AGAGUUUGAUCCUGGCUCAGGAUGAACGCUAGCGACAGGCUUAACACAUGCAAGUCGAGGGGCAGCACAGGUAGCAAUACCGGGUGGCGACCGGCGCACGGGUGAGUAACGCGUAUGCAACUUGCCUAUCAGAGGGGGAUAACCCGGCGAAAGUCGGACUAAUACCGCAUGAAGCAGGGGCCCCGCAUGGGGAUAUUUGCUAAAGAUUCAUCGCUGAUAGAUAGGCAUGCGUUCCAUUAGGCAGUUGGCGGGGUAACGGCCCACCAAACCGACGAUGGAUAGGGGUUCUGAGAGGAAGGUCCCCCACAUUGGAACUGAGACACGGUCCAAACUCCUACGGGAGGCAGCAGUGAGGAAUAUUGGUCAAUGGGCGAGAGCCUGAACCAGCCAAGUAGCGUGAAGGAUGACUGCCCUAUGGGUUGUAAACUUCUUUUAUAAAGGAAUAAAGUCGGGUAUGCAUACCCGUUUGCAUGUACUUUAUGAAUAAGGAUCGGCUAACUCCGUGCCAGCAGCCGCGGUAAUACGGAGGAUCCGAGCGUUAUCCGGAUUUAUUGGGUUUAAAGGGAGCGUAGAUGGAUGUUUAAGUCAGUUGUGAAAGUUUGCGGCUCAACCGUAAAAUUGCAGUUGAUACUGGAUAUCUUGAGUGCAGUUGAGGCAGGCGGAAUUCGUGGUGUAGCGGUGAAAUGCUUAGAUAUCACGAAGAACUCCGAUUGCGAAGGCAGCCUGCUAAGCUGCAACUGACAUUGAGGCUCGAAAGUGUGGGUAUCAAACAGGAUUAGAUACCCUGGUAGUCCACACGGUAAACGAUGAAUACUCGCUGUUUGCGAUAUACAGCAAGCGGCCAAGCGAAAGCGUUAAGUAUUCCACCUGGGGAGUACGCCGGCAACGGUGAAACUCAAAGGAAUUGACGGGGGCCCGCACAAGCGGAGGAACAUGUGGUUUAAUUCGAUGAUACGCAAGGAACCUUACCCGGGCUUAAAUUGCAGAUGAAUUACGGUGAAAGCCGUAAGCCGCAAGGCAUCUGUGAAGGUGCUGCAUGGUUGUCGUCAGCUCGUGCCGUGAGGUGUCGGCUUAAGUGCCAUAACGAGCGCAACCCUUGUUGUCAGUUACUAACAGGUUCUGCUGAGGACUCUGACAAGACUGCCAUCGUAAGAUGUGAGGAAGGUGGGGAUGACGUCAAAUCAGCACGGCCCUUACGUCCGGGGCUACACACGUGUUACAAUGGGGGGUACAGAGGGCCGCUACCACGCGAGUGGAUGCCAAUCCCAAAAACCUCUCUCAGUUCGGACUGGAGUCUGCAACCCGACUCCACGAAGCUGGAUUCGCUAGUAAUCGCGCAUCAGCCACGGCGCGGUGAAUACGUUCCCGGGCCUUGCACACACCGCCCGUCAAG
rnacentral:rRNA from 1 species